rnacentral:rRNA from 1 species
UACAGGGGGUGCAAACGUUGCUCGGAAUCAUUGGGCGUAAAGCGCACGUAGGCGGUCUGUUAUGUCGGAUGUGAAAGCCCUUGGCUCAACUGAGGAAGUGCAUCCGAAACUGGCAGGCUAGAGUACUAAAGAGGAUCGCGGAAUUCCCGGUGUAGAGGUGAAAUUCGUAGAUAUCGGGAGGAACACCGGUGGCGAGGGCGGCGAUCUGGGUAGAUACUGACGCUGAGGUGCGAAAGCGUGGGGAGCAAACAGG